AUUGAACGCUGGCGGCAUGCCUAACACAUGCAAGUCGAACGAGUGGCGGACGGGUGAGUAAUGUCUGGGAAACUGCCUGAUGGAGGGGGAUAACUACUGGAAACGGUAGCUAAUACCGCAUACCAUCGGAUGUGCCCAGAUGGGAUUAGCCAGUAGGUGGGGUAAAGGCUCACCUAGGCGACGAUCCCUAGCUGGUCUGAGAGGAUGACCAGCCACACGGGAACUGAGCAACGGUCCAGAAUCCGACGGGAGGCAGCAGUGGGGAAUAUUGCACAAUGGGCGCAAGCCUGAUGCAGCCAUGCCGGGUGUAUGAAGAAGGCCUUCAGGUGGUAAAGUACUUUCAGCGGGGAGGCGUUACCCGCAGAAGAAGCACCGGCUAACUCCGUGCCAGCGGCCGCGGUAAUAC
rnacentral:rRNA from 1 species